rnacentral:rRNA from 1 species
AGUGUAGGCGGCUAUUUAAGUCGGAUGUGAAAGCCCCGGGCUCAACCUGGGAAUUGCAUCCGAAACUGGGUAGCUAGAGUUUGGUAGAGGUAAGUGGAAUUCCAGGUGUAGCGGUGAAAUGCGUAGAUAUCUGGAGGAACAUCAGUGGCGAAGGCGGCUUACUGGACCAAAACUGACGCUGAGGCUCGAAAGCGUGGGGAGCAAACAGGAUUAGAUACCCUGGUAGUCC